AAUGAACGCUGGCGGCGCGCCUAAUACAUGCAAGUCGAGCGAGAAGACGUAGCAAUACGUUUGUAAAGCGGCGAACGGGUGAGGAAUACAUGGGUAACCUACCCUCGAGUGGGGAAUAACUAGCCGAAAGGUUAGCUAAUACCGCGUACGCUUCUUGGACUUCGGUUCAGGGAGGAAAGCGAUGCCGAGGGUAUCGCGCUCUUGGAUGGGCUCAUGUCCUAUCAGCUUGUUGGGAGGUAACGGCUCACCAAGGCUUCGACGGGUAGCUGGUCUGAGAGGACGAUCAGCCACACUGGCACUGCGACACGGGCCAGACUCCUACGGGAGGCAGCAGUAAGGAUAUUGCGCAAUGGGCGAAAGCCUGACGCAGCGACGCCGCGUGGGGGAUGAAGGUCUUCGGAUUGUAAACCCCUUUCGGGAGGGAAGAUGGAAUGGGGUAACCCAUUCGGACGGUACCUCCAGAAGCAGCCACGGCUAACUUCGUGCCAGCAGCCG
rnacentral:rRNA from 1 species